GCCUGGGUGGCUUGGUCGGUUAAGCGUCUGACUUCAGCUCAGGUCAUGAUCUCACAGUCUGUGAGUUCGAGCCCCACAUCGGGCU
rnacentral:tRNA from 1 species